GGUGCAGCACCCCAACACGUCAAACUCUCUCGGAAAGUCUCCCCCUCCCCCACCUGCAGUCGACGGUUUGGCAGCAAGGCGACCAAUCAGCCGAGAUUUACAUGACCUUCCAUGGAUGAUGAUGAUGGAUGUGGUCCUCGGCGAACCAUCUUGUUUGGAUUCUCUCCCAGAGUCGACGCGACGUUAGCGCAGUUGCACAACGCGGAUUUCCGGGCGUCGUGGCUGCCUGCCCGGUGCGCGCACGGAGGCUGUUCGACGGAACGCCUCAUCGACGGCGCGUCUGGGUAUCUUGUGAUUUGCGACGUAUCCAGGGGCCAGGGCGCAGCACCAGCACGAUGCGGCCGGACGUUUCCGAAGUGCUCGCCACAGAAUGGCGAAAUGGCUGAGGGAAGUGGACGCGGAAGAGGUCACGACGACUGCCUUGUGCACCCAUCGUUUUCAAGGGAAAACUUAUGCUGGGAGCUCACUUCCAUCAUCAAAAAGAUUCAGAGGGCUCCAUUUACAAAUAUUGGAGGAAUUGGAGAAGGGUUUUGAAAAAACCAAAAGAAAAGACUUCGAUGGAAUACUAAUCUAGUUUGGUGGAAUUUGUGGAAAAAAAAAGAAACAGAAGAACUCUUCAGCAAAAAAGCCUACAGCCGAUUGAGGUAGCAUAUCUUAUGAAGGAAGAAGUUGAGCAGCAACGCAUAGCUUUGGCAAAUGCCCGGAAUGGAGGAUGAAGUUUUGCAGGAUUAUGAGUUUGUAGUUUUUGAGCCGACUCCCUUUUUCUCUUUUCAGUUUGUAAGUUUUAGUCUUGCCGCCCCAAUGGGCUGUGUUCUCGGCUUUUUCUUCCUUCUUCAUUUUUUUUUGAGAGAACAGGAGAGGUCAAGGAGACCACUACUGAAAUUUAUUGAAGAAAAAUAAUUCAUUUUUGCAGUUUAGUUUUGCUGCUCCGAUGUA